GAAUUGGUGGUUCAGUGUUAGAAUUCUUGCCUUCCAUACAGGAGACGUGGGUUCGAUUUCAAGCCAAUGCA
rnacentral:tRNA from 1 species